rnacentral:rRNA from 1 species
AACGAACGCUGGCGGCAUGCCUAACACAUGCAAGUCGAACGAGACCUUCGGGUCUAGUGGCGCACGGGUGCGUAACGCGUGGGAACCUGCCCUUAGGUUCGGAAUAACUCCCCGAAAGGGGUGCUAAUACCGGAUAAUGUCUUCGAACCAAAGAUUUAUCGCCUUUGGAUGGGCCCGCGUUGGAUUAGCUAGUUGGUAGGGUAAAAGCCUACCAAGGCGACGAUCCAUAGCUGGUCUGAGAGGAUGAUCAGCCACACUGGGACUGAGACACGGCCCAGACUCCUACGGGAGGCAGCAGUGGGGAAUAUUGGACAAUGGGCGAAAGCCUGAUCCAGCAAUGCCGCGUGAGUGAUGAAGGCCUUAGGGUUGUAAAGCUCUUUUACUCGGGAUGAUAAUGACAGUACCGGGAGAAUAAGCUCCGGCUAACUCCGUG